rnacentral:lncRNA from 1 species
UGAGGCUACUGGGGAGCUUGAGCCCGGGAGAUAGAGGUUGCAGUGAGCUAUGAUUGCCACUGCACUCCAGCCUGGGCCACAAAGUGAGACCCUGUCUUAAAAUAUAUAAAAAUAUAAAUUAAAAAAAAUUUUUAAAGAUGGUAUUUAACCAGAGUCAGGAGUUUUCGUAUAUCCCUACUAUGGAAUAUUAUUUAGCCAUGAAAAGGAAUUAA